GCAUGCUGGAGCACAAUCAAGCACGAUGUCAUGGCAGUUUUCGACCAUUUCUAUAGGCUGGCAGGGGGAAACUUCUCUGAUUUGAACUCGGCCAUGAUUGCCUUACUGCCAAAGAAAGACGGAGCGACGAGUAUGGGCGACUUCAGGCCUAUAAGCCUCAUCCACUCCAUCGCC
rnacentral:rRNA from 1 species